rnacentral:lncRNA from 1 species
AGUUACCCUGUCAAGAUGGUAGCAUGUGAUGGCACGUGCCUGUAAUCCCAGCAGCUUGAGAGGGUGAGGCAGGAGGAUCACAAAUUUAAAGCCAGCUUCAGCAAAAGCAAGGUGCUAAGCAACUGAGUGAGACCCAGUCUCUAAAUAAAAUACAAAAUAGGGCUGGGAAUGUGGCUCAGUGUUUGAGUGCCCCUGAGUUCAAUCCCCAGUACCCCAAAAAACAAAAAAUGGUAGCACUUUCCUUCUAGUUUCUGAGAACAAAAAGUUUAAAAUGCCUUGGUGAUAGCUGUGGCUUGCAGUUCUGACCAUGUCCUUGUUGUGUCUCCUGCCAAAAGUAUACUCCCCUUCAGGACCAGACCUUUAACCUUGCAGGCAUAAAGUCAUAGGAUUGGAAAUAUCUGAGUGGGUCAUUGGGAGUGAUAAUAAGUAGGGUCACUCGGCUUUCAUUUUUUUUUGCCCCGAGGGAGCAAUACUUCAAAAAGAUUGAUUUAGUGCAUAUAUUCUGUCCUGAAGGAUAGUCCCCAUCUUUGCAGAUUCCUCCAAGAUAGUGAUUCAACUGUAGGCUGUUCAGGGGCUCUCUUGUGAGGAUGUGCUGCUCACUUUUUUAGGAUGGCAGGGCCCUGAUAUAAUUUACUUAAUGGGAUGACACUGGUGGUUGUCUUUAAGAAACAGUACCAGGCUUGGGUUGUGGCUCAGUGGUAGAGUGCUCACCUAACACAUGUGAGGCCCUGGGUUCGAUCCUCAGCACCACAUAAAAAUAAAUAAAAUAAGGGUAUUAUGUCCAACUACAACUAAAAAAAUAAAUAUUAAAAAAAAAAAAAAAGGGCUGGGAUUGUGACUUGGCAGUAGAGCGCUUGCCUAGUAUGCGUGGGGCCCUGGGUUUGAUCCUCAGCACCACAUAUAAAUAAAUGAAUGGAAUAAAGGUAUUGUGUCCACUUACAACUAAAAAAAUAAAUAUUAAAAAAAAAGAAAUAGUACCAUAAUAAGGUACUGUUAUUCUUGCUGGGUACCACCUGUUGGCUGGUUAGACUUGGAGGGGUAGGAACUAUUCUGGAAGUCUUCCAGUUUUUCUUAUUUGUAUAUAUGUGUGUACUUAUAUAGUUCAGUUAUUUGAAUUAGAAUCCAUAUGAAGUUAUACAAUACGAUUACUUGAUACUGGUUUCUUUUGAUUAUAGAUUUCUUUCUCCUGAUUUUGUUGUUAUUGUGAAAGAAAAUAGAUUGCCCUAUAGAGUUUUCAUAGUCUGGAUUUAGCUGUUAUAUCUUCAUGGUGUAAUUUUAACAUGUUAUUCCGUCAUUGGUAUUUCCUGCAAAUUGACAACUGUGUCCAGAAGCUUGUCAGAUUCAGUUUCAUUUUGAGAAAUCUAUUUCAAUAGUAGUGAAU